ACCCAGUCUCGUCCGAUCCCGGAAGUCAAGCAACAUUGGGUCAAGUUAGUACUUGGAUGGGUGACCGCCUGGGAAUACUUGAUGCUGUAGGUAA
rnacentral:rRNA from 2 species